UACGAAGGGGGCAAGCGUUGUUCGGAAUUACUGGGCGUAAAGGGCGCGUAGGCGGCCAACUAAGUCGGACGUGAAAUCCCUCGGCUUAACCGGGGAACUGCGUCCGAUACUGGAUGGCUUGAGUUCGGGAGAGGGAUGCGGAAUUCCAGGUGUAGCGGUGAAAUGCGUAGAUAUCUGGAGGAACACCGGUGGCGAAGGCGGGUCUCUGGGCCGAUACUGACGCUGAGGAGCGAAAGCGUGGGGAGCGAACAGG
rnacentral:rRNA from 1 species